UACGUAGGUGGCAAGCGUUGUCCGGAUUUAUUGGGUUUAAAGGGUGCGUAGGCGGCUUUGUAAGUCAGUGGUGAAAUAUGGCAGCUUAACUGUCAAGGUGCCAUUGAUACUGCGGAGCUUGAGUACAGAUGAGGUAGGCGGAAUUGACGAUGUAGCGGUGAAAUGCUUAGAUAUCGUCAAGAACACCUAUAGCGAAGGCAGCUUACUAGGCUGUAACUGACGCUGAGGCACGAAAGUGUGGGGAUCAAACAGG
rnacentral:rRNA from 1 species